ensembl:lncRNA
UCGGCUCAUGCUCCAGUGGCGCGAUGUGAUUCACCAGCAAGGAGGGACGCCAAUAAGGCGUCCGAUAAGAUAAGUCCCAUAAAAUAUAUAGAUCUAUGGUAAUUGAGACUGAGCUAACAAAUGAGAAUCCUAGUCAUUGGCCAAGCAGCUUUGUAACUAAUACAAGUCUCUCUGUGUAUUCAUUUGGGCCUAACUCGGGCGGGCGGCUGGCGUAAAGCUCGCACGUGGCGGUGGGGCUCAGGCGGCUUUUGGCAAAAAGAUUUAUCGUAACAUGGCAUGUGAGUUGUUAUAAGGCCUGCAUUUCAUGGAGUGGAGGAAACACAAGCUUUCAUACCCACAUGCCAGGAGUAGGGCAAAGAAGAGGAAGCCUGUGACUUACAAAUUAUAAGAAGUCAUAGAGCUAAUGUUGGCAGACUCGUUACUGCAUAGGACAUCAGUGGACAGGAGAAAAUGAUGAGUGUGCUGGAGAGCAAGAACUUUCACUAACUAUAACACCAUUGUUUUGCCUUUAAACUUCCAGGCAACAAAUGCUACAUUGACAUCAAAUAGUUCUCAGUGCCAUACAAUAAAUAGUCAUGUAUAACCAAGCUCACCUUGAUGGCUAUUACUUAUUAAUAACAAAACCAUGGCUAUAGUUCCUCUAGCAUAGUUUUAUCUCUUUCAAUAGGAGUCUCUAUGACAUGCUACUAUCCUAUUAUAGACUUUGACCAUAAGCAUGAGUGUGUUGUACCCAGGAAAACUGUUGACAGAGAGAAACUCUGGUGACAUCUCUUUCCAACACUAAAUAACAGCAACCAAAUUCUAAUAGUUCAUGUUUUUCUGGUAUGUAAACCAAUUUGACAGAACUGAAUCUACUUGUACAUUCCUGUCAUAAUCAGUUUAAUAAAAUGAAGAAAAUUAGGGGAAAUGCUCAGAAAGAAGACAAUGUCUAAAAGCUCAGAGAAAGAUUUAAAAAUAUAUAUAUUUAGAAAGUGAACACAUGUUCAGUAGCAGACCAAAAAAAAAAAUGGAAUAAAGUAAUUGAACCAAACAGUUUCUUUAGCACAUUUGGCCCUUUUCAGUUCAUGGAUACUCUGUAGCCCUACCCCACUGCUUUCAUAAAUAAGAAAAAAAAAAAACAGAGUAAGAAUCAAUGAGUUCUUUAUCUCCUAGGUGUGCUUGUAUCUCUCUGGUAAAUUGAUUUCACUUUCCUAUGUGACUGUCUCUCAGUUACUAUGGAUGAUUGAUAGCUAACUCUGUGAAUGAAGGACUUUUUUGUCUCUGUGUUGUGGUGGCAUCCAAGACAGGAAUACAAAGUUAAUUUUACAUAAGUUUCAACAUAUAGAAUCUAUAACAAUGUAAGCUGUCUAUAGAUAAUAGUUGCUAAAAUAGUUCACAGGAAGAUAUGGUGAUCUACAUAUAUGCUAUCCCAGCAGUCUGGCUUCAGAGCACCAGGACUGAACUCCUUUUGGUUCUCCUAUCCUGCAACAUCAAGUGAUUUCUUACAUGCCUAAUGCACCCUUUGGGGUUUCCCUGAAUAAGCUUUCUUUAUAGAGAACACUCGGCAGAAAUCAUAAGAUGCCAAGAACAGAUCCCUAUGAUAAACUACCAAGCUUCACUCAAAAUAAACUUCUUCCAGGUCUUUCUUAUCUCUCUCUCCAAUGCAUCUUCUGGAGAUUUUACCAACACAUUUGUGUUCCUGCAUAUGCUCCCUUAUCCUUAGUGACUGCUGAAAGAGAGGGGUGUGUUGCUCAAAAUAUUUCCCCCAUUUGACUCUUAAAUUGCAGGUAACCUUGAUGAAUUCCUAAUUUUAUCCUGCCUGUGUAAGAUCCACCUUCAUGAAAACCUCUGGACUAAAUGUUGCCUCAAAUAUAUAAUCUGUAAGCAAUCAUGCCAAACACGUAGUGAAUAAUGUAGCCAUAAUCUAGAGAGUAUGAAAUGCUCUUUUUCCCCAGCCUGUUUAUGUCCUAGCAACUGGAAAACACAAAAGCAGAGGUUCUCGGGGCAUGUUGGAACAGAAACAAAUGUAGUCAUCAAGAAUAGAGAAAAACAGAACAAGUGUUAUAAUUUCUCCGUGGACUGACUUGCUAUGCUGGGUUGGCACCGAGGGCCUGAUAUAUACUGAGCCUUCCACACAGUCCCACAACCAGCAAUCUUGCCAUUUCAUCUUCUUCCCUGCUCAACAUCUUCCCAAAAGUCUUUUUCAAUGUCAGCAAAAGCUCCUCAUACUCAAUAGGGUCAGUGUGUGUGUGUGUGUGUGUGUGUGUGUGUGUGUGUGUGUGUGUGUGUGUGUAGUUUGAGUUCAGAUCUUUGCUCUUCAGGCACAAAGAACUGGUGAGCAUUAGCGAAGGUUCCUCGCAGCAGUUGGCAUCAUGUUUCCACCUGAUCACACAGAGAAUUUCAGAACCCAGAUGCAUAGUCUUCAUCAGGAGCAAGAAGAGUCAGCAGCAUGCUGAGGGCACCAUGGCCCCAUGCUCACAUUCCUUUAUUCCAGUGACUUUUAUUGAUUUCUGCCUCUGAAAUGUUCCUCGUCUCCUGCCUGGUAUUCAGAGUCCUCUAAGGCUCACCAGAGAGUUGCAUUUUAAAACUGACGGGUCACAAACUUCUGACCUUUCCUGCUUCUCUCUCUUAUCUCUCUCUCAAAAAAAUGAAGUUUGAAAUUCGUCAUCCUAUGAAGUAUUCAACAUUAUCACUGUCAAAAUAAAUUUAUGUAUGUAAUUCAUUUUCUGGAUUUAGCAAAUAUUUCAACUCUUCCUUUUUUUUUUUUUCAGAAACUGAUCAGGGAGUUAUGGCAUGGAGACUCAGAAUACGUGGAGAAGUAGACUUCUCUGGAUCUAUGCUCCUAACUGCUGAGAGAAUAUAAAAAUAGACAAUGGCCAGUCUAUGUGACAGCAGGAGUCGACCACAGAAACUCAGCAGCAGGCCCAAGAGGUCAGAACUAAGUAAUUACCAGCUUUUCUGAUGUUUGCCUCCUCAUUCGAAUCAGGACCACUCAGUGAAAGUCAGAUAUGCCUCUGCCAAAGAUGCAACCAACUUUCACUUAAAUCUUAAUAUAAUAAGUUUAUUUUACUAAAACAAAAUAGCGACUUUAAAAAAAAUGAAAUAAUGUACCCUUUGAAGUCAAAGUCGGAAUCUGUGGUUCCUAAGGAGUAGCAAGGAAUACCUCCCAUUGUAUAAUGUCAGAACUUCAUCUGGAUUACAAUAAAGGUCUGUUUCAUGAAAGAUUUGCUUAUGUCACACUUUAUCUUCUUAUUGCUGUCUCUUCUUUUUCCAUUUUUAUUGCCCUACUAAUUUAAUUAGUAUCCACAGCACAGCUCUUAUUUUAUUGCCAGGUCAGAACCACUCUAUCCUCCACAGAAAUUAUGCUAAAAUUUUAUUUUACAAUGUCAUUUUUGAGUUUGAGGCCUAGUAUUCAUCAACUCUUUGCAUGUGCCCUUUAACACUCCCUGUCAUUAUGUUUUCUAUAAUUCUUACCUACAGCCCUGGAAAAAAACAGUGCUAAGAAAAUCUCAUAAUAAAAUUUCCUUGAAAUAGGCCCGAUUAAAAGGUGAUUUGUGAUGGCCUUCAGCUUCUGGGUCAUCUCUUAAGGAAUAAAACUGUCCUAGGUAUUUAUCUUAUAUUUUGUAAGUACUCCAUAAAUAUACUUUGUAUAUGUCUAUGAGUAAAUGAUCCUAGCAAUCUUAGAACUUCAUAGCUAGAUAGUCUAAUAAUGGCCCUUUCCCCCAACAGGAGAUUAUUCUUCCUCUUCUCCCUCUUUUAUUUUUAUUUGUUGUGAUUUGAAUAAGAAUGUUCCCCAUAAGCUCAUAUAUUUAAAAGCUUGAUCAUCACCAGAGAGUGGCACUAUUAAGAGUUUUGGUCUUGUUGGAGUAGGUGUAGAUUUGUUGGAGGAAAUAUGCCACUGGGUGUGGGCUUUGAGAUUUCAAAAUCCUAAAAUGAAAAAUAACAGGGGAGAACAAAAUCAUAAAAUCUUAAAGUCAAGUCACAGAAGAUCUGAAUAAGCUAUAUAAGGCUUAUGAAGGAUGGGAUUUAAGAAUGACAAAUUUUAGAAGACUAAGAUUUUUAAAUUUCUAAGGUUAUAAUAAUCUAUUUGUGGUAAAAAAAAAAACUUAAAAUGUAUGUCUAAUCAUGAUAAUCACUUAUGUAUUUGUAAACUUCAUUAAGGUUUUUUUUUUUUUGGUUUUUCAAGACAGGGUUUCUCUGUGUAGCUUUGGAGCCUAUCCUGGCAAUUGCUCUGUAGACCAGGCUGGCCUCGAACUCACUGAGAUCUGCCUGCCUCUGCCUCCUGAGUGCUGGGAUUAAAGGCAUUCACCACCAACGCCUGGCAACUUCAUUAAGUUUUAACCAUUUGGAAAAACUGGAUAAUAGCAGAAACUAUGGUUGAACAAUUGAUAAGACAUUGAAUCCAUCCUGUAUAUGUUACUCAUAUCAGAUCUCAUUUAGAACUUCCUGGUCCCCUAAUAAAAAGGAAUGAUCAAGAAAUUAAGCUUAAAACAACCUAAGAUGCUCAAUAUUCCAGUCUCUUACUUGCAAAAAAAAAUGCUUCUCUUUGUCUAAAUCCUAAACACUGUGUUUAGGAUUCCAUUGCUUUCCAUUGCCAUUUCAACUACUCCUUCUUUCACAGGCACAGGCAAAACUGCUCCCAAAGUAAACAAACCCAAUGGAUUUUGUCAGAUGGAUGUUCCUCAUAUUCAGUUCAGUCCUUUGUUCAUGUCAUUAUUGACACCUUUUCAGGUUACACAUGGGCUACGGUACUACCUAGAGAAUAAAACAACAUUCAUGCUAUUGCACAUUUACUACAUAUUUUUGCUAUUUUACACUCACAUAUGCUAGUGUUGGCUUUUCUGACUUCUGGCUGAUUGGCACAUUGAGCAUAUAAUAGAUAUCCUGUUUAAAAGUGCAGGAACAACUCAUAGUUGAACAUAAACAUCCUACCAUGGAAAUGUUUCUUUAAAACAUAAAGGGGGGAUUUUUCCUCCCCCAAAGAUUUAGUAUAUUUUACUUUAUAUGCUAUAGAAGUUGAAACUUUCACUAAUAAUUGGUGGUUUGAAGCACAACAGCAUAGGACUGAGCCAACACCACCAGCUAAUUUGGUGGAAAGACAAAAUUUAUAAUACUUGGACCCCUAGGCUUGCCAAGCUGUGGUAUUAGUGAUGUGUUUGUAGUUUCAUAGAAGAUGAAAAGGACACUUAGGUGCUGAAGAUUAAAACAUUGUCAUGAGUCAUCAUAAUUUCACUAUGAGAACCUAGCUGAAGCAUCAUUGAAAAAGAUGCAAACCACCAUCCCUGAAGGGGAAAGUAUGCCUCAUAGGCAGCAAGUAACAUGACCAAGUUGGGGACAAAAAGAGGAAGGAAGGAAGGAAGGAAGGAAGGAAGGAAGGAAGGAAGGAAGGAAGGAAGGAAGGAAGGUGAGAAAGAAG